CUACGGACUUAAAACUUUGAGUGCCCUUUUGGAAACGAGAGGUGCAGAACUGCUCAAAUUCGGGGAAAGCUUUUAAAUGCCAAUCCCGAGCCAAGCCUGAUUUUUCAGGAAGGUGUAGAGACUAGACGGGCAGCACCUACCCCCUGUUUAACAGGGUAUGGUGAAGGGAUAGUCCAGACCCCAAACACUGCUUUGGCA
rnacentral:ncRNA from 1 species